CAAUUAUACCAUGCUGAAUAUACCGGUUCUCGUUAGAUCACCGAAGUUAAGCAUCAUUGGGCGCGGUCGGUACUUGGGUGGGUGACCACCUGGGAACACUGCGUGCCGUU
rnacentral:rRNA from 1 species